UAGAGGAGCCUGUUCUGUAAUCGAUAACCCACGAUCAACCCAACCACCCCUUGCCAAAACAGCCUACAUACCGCCGUCGCCAGCCCACCUCGAAUGAGAGCACAACAGUGAGCGCAACAGCACCCCCGCUAAUAAGACAGGUCAAGGUAUAGCCCAUGGGGCGGAAGAAAUGGGCUACAUUCCCUAUACACUAGGGCAGCACGAAAAGAAGCAUGAAACUGCUUCUGGAAGGAGGAUUUAGCAGUAAAGUGGGACAAUAGAGCCUACUUUAAGCCGGCCCUAGGGCACGUACAUACCGCCCGUCACCCUCCUCACAAGCCACACCCCCACAUAACUAAUACCCUAAACAUGCCAAAGAUGAGGUAAGUCGUAACAAGGUAAGUGUACCGGAAGGUGUACUUAGAAUACUCAAGACGUAGCUAUAACACCCAAAGCACUCAGCUUACGCCUGAAAGAUAUCUGCCAAACCAGAUCGUCUUGAAGCCUCCCUCUAGCUCAGCCGCCCAAACAACGC
rnacentral:rRNA from 1 species